GACGAACGCUGGCGGCGUGCUUAACACAUGCAAGUCGAACGGAAAGGCCCUGCUUUUGUGGGGUGCUCGAGUGGCGCACGGGUGAGUAACACGUGAGUAACCUGCCCUUGACUUUGGGAUAACUCCAGGAAACUGGGGCUAAUACCGGAUAGGAGCUCCUGCUGCAUGGUGGGGGUUGGAAAGUUUCGGCGGUUGGGGAUGGACUCGCGGCUUAUCAGCUUGUUGGUGGGGUAGUGGCUUACCAAGGCUUUGACGGGUAGCCGGCCUGAGAGGGUGAACGGCCACAAGGGGACUGAGAUACGGCCCAGACGCCUACGGGAGGCAGCAGGGGGGAGUAUGGCACAAUGGGCGGAAGCCUGAGGCAGCAACGCCGCGUGCGGGAUGACGGCCUUCGGGUUGUAAACCGCUGUCGCCUGUGACGAAGCGUGAGUGACGGUAAUGGGUAAAGAAGCACCGGCUAACUACGUG
rnacentral:rRNA from 1 species